rnacentral:tRNA from 1 species
GGUAAUAGCUCAAGUGGUAGAGCGCACGCUUAGCACGCAUGAGGUCCUGGAUUCAAUCCCCAGUACCU